rnacentral:lncRNA from 1 species
GUGGGAACGGGGGGGGAACCCUAUAAGGGGGAAGGGGGGGGUUGUGGGGCCGGGGGGGGCACCCCAUAGCGGGGGAGGGGGGGGUUGUGGGGCCGGGCGGGAGAAAACCCCAUAGCGGGGGGAGCUGUGGGGCCGGGGGGGCGCUUUAUGGGGAAGUGGGGGGGGGGAGGAACAGAGGGUUAUGGGGCUUUGUUGGGGUUAUGGGGCUUUGUUGGGGCUAUGGGGCUUUGUUGGGGUUAUGGGGUUAUGGGGCGGUGGGGUUAUGGGGCCGUGUCAGGGUUUGUUGGGGGGUUUCGUCGGCGUUCCCGGGUUAUGGGGCUUUGUGAGAGUUCUGUGGGGUUAUGGGGCUUUGAGGAGGUGCGGGGUUUGGGGUCGCGGGGCUUUGUCGGGGUGGUGGGGUUUUGUCGGGGUUUCUUAUGGGGCUUUUUGGGGGUUACGGGGCUUUGUCGGAGUUAUGGGGUGUUGAGGUUUGGGGCUGUGGGGCUUUGUCGGGGUUAUGGGGUGAUGGGGCUGUGUUGGGGUGAUGGGGUUAUGGGGCUGUAUUGGAGUUAUGGGGUUAUGGGGCUGUGUUGGGGUUAUGGGGUGAUGGGGCUGUGUUGGGGUUAUGGGGCUGUGAUUGGGCUAUGUGGGGGUGAUGGGGUUAUGGGGUUGUGUUGGGGUGAUGGGGUUAUGGGGCUGUGUUGGGGUUAUGGGGCUGUGUUGGGGUUAUGGGGUGACGGCGCUGUGUGCGGUUCGGGGCGCUUUUGGGGCCCCGUCGGAGUUUUGGGGGUUCGGGUUUUUUUGGGGGGGGUUUCGUCGCUGUCGCGAUUCGGGGCUUCGGACGGCGCCGCGUCGGCGUUUAUCGGAACCGGAGCGGGACUUAUCGGGGCUCUACUGGGCUUUAUGGGACCGGACCGGAACUUAUCGGGGUUCUACUGGGCUUUAUGGGACCGGACCGGGACUUAUCGGGGUUCUAUUGGGGUUUAUUGGACCGGACCGGGACUUGUCGGGGUUCUAUUGGGGUUUAUUGGACCGGAGCGGGACUUAUCGGGGUUCCAUCGGGGUUUAUUGGGACCGGAGCGGGACUUAUCGGGGUUUAUGGGGACCGGAGCGGGACUUAUCGGGGUUCUAUUGGGGUUUAUUGGACCGGACCGGGACUUAUCGGGGUUCCAUCGGGGUUCUAUGGGGGUUCCGUUGAGAUUCUAUGGGGGUUUAUCGGGUCGCGGUGCUUUGGGGGUCCCGGGGGGUCGCGGCGGUCUCUCCGUCCCACGCGGGAUUGGGGCGCGCGUGGACCGCGAGCGCAGCGGAGCGCCCCAUUGUGCGGCGAACAAUGCGGAGCGGGGGGGGGACCGCCCCACAGAGCCCCCCCAUUCCGUCCCCGUUCCGCUUUGUGUGCGGC